UAUUCCGUCUCAAAAUUUAAUUUCAGCGCCAGAUUUCUUUCUCCCUUUUCUCCACUUCUUUUUCCCUAAAAUCCUAAAUCUCUAAAUUAAUGGUGAACCCAACCGCCUCCAGCCACUCCACCGCCGUCCAUUGCCUUCACCGUUCACCGUCCUCCGCCUCCACCGGCUAUUGCCGCUGAGGAACACCUUCGCAGCUCGCGCCGUCAACCUCUACCUCCGCAACGUCUGCAAUCUACAAUUCAAGGCCAGGGGAUCUACGAGAAGAAGAACCGAAAGCGCCCCUCCGCCGCCGCCGCCGCAGCCUAUUCUGUUUCGGCAGAAGUUAGAGCCUCCAAUCGCCACCACCGCCUCGGCCCUCCGGCCUCAUCCUCAGCCGUCGCCGGUCCUUCCCUGACCCCGUUGCAGCCUUCCUCUUCAGUCUCUCAUUGCCGUCGUCGAGGUUGGGAUCAGGCUUGCCGGUGAGCCUCUGCACCAGCUCCCUGAAGUUUGCAGCAUCAGUCUUGAUUAUCUCUGGCAGGGCCAAAAGACUCGCUUCACCAAUGCCUUAUAAAGCGUGAUAAGAAGAAUGCUGCAUUUUACCUAUAUCUUGCUCUCACCCCAUUUGUCAAGUGCUGCUUAAUAUAGAGGUGAUCAGACUUUAUUUUUGCUACCGAACCGACAUUAAGUUGAAGAAGUGGACUGGAGUGUCUUCAAUGUCUUGCAUGCGAAGGCCGGAGAAUUCACCUAUCUCAGAGCUCGAGAUGCAUACGCCCAAGUGACUGCCAAGGCUGUAGAGCUAUCUCAAUCUCGGUCAAAUGAUGGCUCUGAGUCUCAGGAGGUAGACGUACAGGCACUGCAAGCCGAGUUCAUGAAGAUACCAGCUGAAAUGAGGAAUCUACCACCCCCUUGAUUAUGUUUGUUUUAGGAACUUGAAUUUAUUUUGCUAGGUGCUAACUUAACUAGAAUUUGGAUUGUUAGAUACUUUGUUGAUUAUCGUUGAUUGCUGGUUACUAUUUAAAGUUUAUCUAUUAUGUUGCA